rnacentral:rRNA from 1 species
CAAGUCUGGUGCCAGCAGCCGNGGUAAUUCCAGCUCAUAGCGUAUAUUAAGUUGUUGCAGUUAAAAGCUCGUAGUUGAAUUUCGGGAUUAGUAGGUUGGUCGUGCCUCUGGUAUGUACUGGCUUUACUGGUUCCUCCUUCUUAGAAAAACUGUAAUGUCAUUAAUUUGGUGUUGCAGGGAAACAGGACUGUUACUUUGAAAAAUUAGAGUGUUUAAAGCAGGCUAACGCUUGAAUACAUUAGCAUGGAAUAAUGAAAUAGGACGUUUGAUCCUAAUUUUGUUGGUUUCUAGGAUUGACGUAAUGAUUAAUAGGGAUAGUUGGGGGCAUUAGUAUUCAAUUGUCAGAGGUGAAAUUCUUGGAUUUAUUGAAGACUAACUACUGCGAAAGCAUUUGCCAAGGAUGUUUUCAUUAAUCAAGAACGAAAGUUAGGGGGAUCGAAGACGAUCAGAUACCGUCGUAGUCUUAACCAUAAACUAUGCCGACUAGGGAUCGGAUGAAGUUAAUUUUUAAUGACUCAUUCGGCGCCUUACG